GGAAUAUUGGGCAAUGGACGCAAGUCUGACCCAGCCAUGCCGCGUGCAGGAUGACUGCCCUAUGGGUUGUAAACUGCUUUUAUACGGGAAAAAAAUAUCCGACGUGUCGGAAGCUGAUGGUACCGUAUGAAUAAGCAUCGGCUAACUCCGUGCCAGCAGCCGCGGUAAUACGGAGGAUGCAAGCGUUAUCCGGAUUUAUUGGGUUUAAAGGGUGCGCAGGCGGAAUGAUAAGUCAGUGGUGAAAGCUUUCGGCUUAACCGGGAAAUUGCCAUUGAUACUAUCGUUCUUGAGUACAGUUGAGGUAGGCGGAAUGUGUCAUGUAGCGGUGAAAUGCUUAGAUAUGACACAGAACACCGAUAGCGAAGGCAGCUUACCAAAUUGAAACUGACGCUCAUGCACGAAAGCGUGGGGAUCAAACAGGAUUAGA
rnacentral:rRNA from 1 species